rnacentral:rRNA from 1 species
GCAGGAGUUGACUCAAUCGACCGAGUUAAUUGCCUGUCCGGGCCGGAAAAUUCAUGGAGCCGUCGUCGUCGUCGUGGUUGACGGGCGAGGCUGGCUGGGAGUGAGGUGGAGCGGAUAUUCCCCCCGCCGAUCCCUGCCGUGUGCAAUCCACACUGUGCGCGGCCUCCAUAAAUAGGGCCUCCCCGCCGGCGGCCUCCUCCAACCAUUCCUCGGACAAUCUUCUUCCUCUACACUCUAGCUCAUCUUGCCCAUGCAUUUCUCCCUGGCUUGACUGGCCGUUGAUGAAGCUGCAGGAGCCAGCCCCCUAGCUAGCUAUCUGUCUGCCUAGCUGCUUCGUCGCACAUCAUCAGUUGUUGGUAGCUAGGAGUAGCUCCGGUGGUGCCCCGAAGUCGAGAAAAGCCAAGAGAAUCUUCCAAAUUUCGUCUUUCUUUCUGACUAGCAAGUUGUGGUGAGAUCAGAUGAGCCAUCGAUCCAUCACGGAGCUCGAUCGCUCCGUAGCCACGUCGCACUCCAUUCUCUUUUCUUUUCUUUUCUUUUCUUUUCAAAAGUAGCCCAGGCAAGGCAAUAUAUUUACACUUGUGUGUGCGCAACUAGUUCUAUAUAUUUUUUUUCCUUUGAAAAGUCCACACCCCCCCAUGCAUGCGAUGCGAGUGUCGAACAGUGCCCCGUCACGUCACCUUAUAACUUGCCCCAAAUUUCUUCACGCCUGCCUGACUCCUUGAUCGUGACAAGAGCCUUCAUUGGUUUCCUCUUUUCCAACCCUACCUCAACAAUCACAACCGUACGCACGAAUAUCUCAUCUCGCCUGAAAAAUAACGGAUUUCUCUUUUCUUUUUAUUAUUAUUAGAAAAGCAAAAAUUGCAGAUAUGAUUUUCUCGCCAACAAAAUUGGAAUAAGAUAACAUGCCGGGCGAAUAUUCCCCCGGAGCGUAGAACAAAAACAACUGUCAGCCGCUUCGACUCGCCAGUAAAAUCGUAACAGCCAAGGUUUAUUCCCAACGAUCCCACCAAAAUACCUUUUGAUCCCAGCGUUCACAGCAGUCAACAACCAAGCCCAAGAGUCCCGGGGAAGCAGCAGGAGCCGCAGAACAAGAGAUCCCCGGCGGCGAUCCCCGGCGAGAGAUCAGUCAAGGAGGGCUCGCGGCGAUGGCGCGCGAGCAGCUGGAGGUGCUGACGGCGCUGGACGCGGCCAAGACGCAGUGGUACCACUUCACGGCCAUCGUCAUCGCCGGCAUGGGCUUCUUCACCGACGCCUACGACCUCUUCUGCAUCUCCCUCGUCACCAAGCUGCUCGGCCGCAUCUACUACUACCGCGAGGGCGCCGACGCGCCCGGCUCGCUCCCGCCCAACGUCGCCGCCGCCGUCAACGGCGUCGCCUUCUGCGGCACGCUCUCCGGCCAGCUCUUCUUCGGCUGGCUCGGCGACCGCAUGGGCCGCAAGCGCGUCUACGGCAUGACGCUCAUGUGCAUGGUGCUCUGCUCCAUCGCCUCCGGCCUCUCCUUCGGCUCCACCCCCGGUUCCGUCAUGGCCACGCUCUGCUUCUUCCGCUUCUGGCUCGGCUUCGGCAUCGGCGGCGACUACCCGCUCUCCGCCACCAUCAUGUCCGAGUACGCCAACAAGAAGACGAGGGGCGCGUUCAUCGCCGCCGUCUUCGCCAUGCAGGGCUUCGGCAUCCUCACCGGCGGCGUCGUCACGCUCAUCGUCUCCGCCGCGUUCCGCGCCGCCUUCCACACGCCCGCCUACCAGGACGCCCCCCUCGCCUCCACGCCGCCGCAGGCCGACUUCGUGUGGCGCUUCAUCCUCAUGUUCGGCGCCGUCCCGGCCCUCAUGACCUACUACUGGCGGAUGAAGAUGCCCGAGACGGCGCGCUACACGGCGCUCGUCGCCAAGAACGCCAAGCAGGCCGCGGCCGACAUGUCCAAGGUGCUCCAGGUGGACAUCGGCGCCGAGGAAGAGGACCCCAAGGCCAACGACGGCGGCGCCGGAGCCGCCGACGACCGCAACUCGUUCGGGCUCUUCUCGGGCGAGUUCCUGCGCCGGCACGGGCUCCACCUCCUCGGCACGGCCACCUGCUGGUUCCUGCUGGACAUCGCCUUCUACUCGCAGAACCUGUUCCAGAAGGACAUUUUCACGGCGAUCAACUGGAUCCCCAAGGCCAAGACGAUGAGCGCCCUCGAGGAGGUGCAUCGCAUCGCGCGCGCGCAGACGCUCAUCGCGCUCUGCGGCACGGUGCCGGGCUACUGGUUCACGGUGGCGCUGAUCGACCGGAUCGGGCGGUUCUGGAUCCAGCUGGGCGGCUUCUUCUUCAUGGCGGUGUUCAUGCUGGGGCUCGCCUUCCCGUACCACCACUGGACGACGCCGGGGAACCACAUCGGGUUCGUGGUGCUGUACGGGCUCACCUUCUUCUUCGCCAACUUCGGGCCCAACUCCACCACCUUCAUCGUUCCCGCCGAGAUCUUCCCGGCGAGGCUCCGGUCGACGUGCCACGGCAUCUCGGCGGCGGCCGGGAAGCUGGGCGCCAUCGUGGGGUCGUUCGGGUUCCUGUACCUGGCGCAGAACCAGGACCCGGCCAAGGUGGACCACGGGUACAAGGCCGGCAUCGGGGUGAGGAACUCGCUCUUCAUCCUCGCCGCCUGCAACUUCCUCGGCAUGGGCUUCACCUUCUGCGCGCCCGAGUCCAACGGCCUCUCGCUCGAGGAGCUCUCCCGCGAGAACGAGGAGGAGGCGCCGGACGCCAGGACGGUGCCCGUGUGAGAAACACGUCGUCAGAUAGUAGUAUAUUCUGCGAGCAGGUUUGGAUGGAUGUAUGGAUGUUUUUUAUGGUCGGAGAGCGUUCAACUCAGGAGUCGAGUCGAGUCGAGUACAACAAUAAUUUAUCUAAUCUUGUGAUGGGUCGAGUUGUCCAGGUUAAUUAGGGCUGCUGCUCGAGUUAUUAGCAGUAAUAUAGGUACGGUGUAAUACCAAGUUAGAGAAGUGCAUCGAAGAGGCAAAGCUUAUAUGUACGUGACGUGUGAUUGAAAAUUUUCAUGCAUUAUAAGGGGUUUUGCAUAUUUUAAUAC